AGAGUUUGAUCAUGGCUCAGAUUGAACGCUGGCGGCAGGCUUAACACAUGCAAGUCGAGCGGAAACGAUGAUAGCUUGCUAUCAGGCGUCGAGCGGCGGACGGGUGAGUAAUGCUUAGGAAUCUGCCCAGUAGUGGGGGACAACAGUCGGAAACGGCUGCUAAUACCGCAUACGCCCUACGGGGGAAAGCAGGGGAUCUUCGGACCUUGCGCUAUUGGAUGAGCCUAAGUCGGAUUAGCUAGUUGGUGAGGUAAAGGCUCACCAAGGCCACGAUCCGUAGCUGGUUUGAGAGGAUGAUCAGCCACAUCGGGACUGAGACACGGCCCGAACUCCUACGGGAGGCAGCAGUGGGGAAUAUUGGACAAUGGGGGCAACCCUGAUCCAGCCAUGCCGCGUGUGUGAAGAAGGCUUUCGGGUUGUAAAGCACUUUCAGCGAGGAGGAAGGCUCUAAAGUUAAUACCUUUAGGGAUUGACGUUACUCGCAGAAGAAGCACCGGCUAACUCCGUGCCAGCAGCCGCGGUAAUACGGAGGGUGCAAGCGUUAAUCGGAAUUACUGGGCGUAAAGCGCGCGUAGGUGGUUGAGUAAGCGAGAUGUGAAAGCCCCGGGCUUAACCUGGGAACGGCAUUUCGAACUGCUCGGCUAGAGUGUGGUAGAGGGUAGUGGAAUUUCCUGUGUAGCGGUGAAAUGCGUAGAUAUAGGAAGGAACACCAGUGGCGAAGGCGGCUACCUGGACCAACACUGACACUGAGGUGCGAAAGCGUGGGGAGCAAACAGGAUUAGAUACCCUGGUAGUCCACGCCGUAAACGAUGUCAACUAGCCGUUGGGGAUCUUGAAUCCUUAGUGGCGCAGCUAACGCACUAAGUUGACCGCCUGGGGAGUACGGCCGCAAGGUUAAAACUCAAAUGAAUUGACGGGGGCCCGCACAAGCGGUGGAGCAUGUGGGUUUAAUUCGAUGCAACGCGAAGAACCUUACCUGGGCCUUGACAUGCAGAGAAAUUUUCCCAAGAUGGAUUGGUGGCCUUCCGGGAAAUCUUACACAAGGUGUUGCAUGGGCCUCCCUCACCUCCCGGCCCGGGAAAGUUUGGGGUUAAUUCCCCCUAACAAGAGGAACCCCCCAUCCUUUGGUUGGUUUUCAGGGGAAGGGUGGAGAAUUCCCCGGGGGACUGCCGGUGUCCAAACCCGCGGGAAGGAGGUGUGUGUGUCUCUUCGG
rnacentral:rRNA from 1 species